ensembl:lncRNA
UGAUGACAUUACAUGACCAGCGCAGGCAGGGGUGAUGGGCGGGUGCAUGACCAUGGCUUAAUAAUGAGUCGAGCUGAAAAUAACCCUUCAUCAAUUCAACACUAACCCUCAACUCUAACGGAGGACGGGCCGGGCGGGCGGGCCCAGAUUAUGCCCAGGACUGGGGGGGGUAAGGGCUCUCUACAGACCGAGACGGCGCCGCCCUCUCAGAGGCCACCCUAACCUACCGCCCCCCUCCUCCUCCUCCUUCCUUCACAGACCUGCAUCUGCUUGCGAACCUCUAUCGUCAUGACAUACUCUGAGACAACAACAGUCGUCUCUGGUGGGGUAACGGGGAGAGCUGGAGCUAGGGCUGGGGAUAAACAAAACAAAAACAUUUGAAAGAUUCUUCAUGCUGUGUCCAAGGUCAAAGAAACCUCUUGUUCUAAAUGUGUGGUGCAAAGCGAGGACUACAUGGAAGACAGUGUUAUUCUUAGUGACCGGAUGGUUUUCUGUAGACUUUGACAAUGACGAUGAUCAAGCGACUAGCAACACUGUACUGUAAACCUGGUGUGUAUCUGUUGGGUGUUCCACCCACUUCUCUCUCUUUGUGUUUCACUGGGUCUGAGAGGAAAAGAGCAAUAUCAUCAUUUAUUUCACAUGAUCCUCUAAUCAAAUGUGUAUAUACUGAGUGUACAAAACAUUAGACUCUGGACUCUACAAGGUGUCGAAGCCGUUCCACAGGGAUGCUGGUCCAUGUUAACUCCAAUACUUCCCACUGUUGUUCCAAGUUGGCUGGAUGUCUUUUGGGUGGUGAACCAUUCUUGAUCCACACGGGAAACUGUUGAGAGUGAAAAACCCAGCAGGGUUAAAGUUCACGACUCAAACCGGUGCGUCUGGCACCUACUAAUGUUCAAAGGAACUUCAAUAUUUUGUCUCGUCCAUUUCACCCUCUGAAUGGCACACAUACACAAUACAUGUCUCAAUUGUCUCAAGGCUUAAAAAUCCUUCUGUAACCUGUCUCCUCCCCUUCAUCUACCCGGUGUCCCAUGUCUAAAUCAGGCCCUGGUGUCCCAUGUCUAAAUCAGGCCCUGGUGUCCCAUGUCAAAAUCAGGCCCUGGUGUCCCAUGUCUAAAUCAGACCCUGGUGUCCCAUGUCUAAAUCAGACCCCGGUGUCCCAUGUCUAAAUCAGACCCCGGUGUCCCAUGUCUAAAUCAGGCCCCGGUGUCCCAUGUCUAAACCAGGCCCCGGUGUCCCAUGUCUAAAUCAGGCCCUGGUGUCCCAUGUCUAAACCAGACCCUGGUGUCCCAUGUCUAAACCAGGCACCGGUGUCCCAUGUCUAAAUCAGGCCCUGGUGUCCCAUGUCUAAAUCAGACCCUGGUGUCCCAUGUCUAAAUCAGACCCUGGUGUCCCAUGUCUAAAUCAGACCCUGGUGUCCCAUGUCAAAAUCAGGCCCUGGUGUCCCAUGUCUAAACCAGACCCUGGUGUCCCAUGUCUAAAUCAGACCUGGAUUCAAACUGUUCCAGAGUUGAGUUGGGGGGCUCUAUGUCACGGAAAGAGCAGGUGUUCUUAAUGUUUUCUACACUCAGUCUAGAUGUUCAGUUUCCAUGUAUUUCCGUUUAAGUGUUCUGAUGACUUCUCUAUGUAAGGAGUGCUCUGCUUCUUUAUUUCACUGAUAAUAACCUCGAUGUGUUUCUCUCUCUUUAAAUUGGUAGAAGAGAUCACAUGCUUCUAUCUAGCCUUUAUGACUUUGAUAUGUAUUCCUGUUUUUAUUCGCCUUACAUAUGCAGUAUUGACUUAGAUUCAUGCAUACAUAUGCAGUAUUGACUUAGAUUCAUACAUUUCCUACAUUGUAUAAAAUGUGUAAAACCUUUCUCUAACCUUUUUAUAAAACAAGUAGGCUUGUUGAUAGGAUGCCAUGGCAGAGCCUUUUUGAAAAAAUACAGCAAGAUGGCCGACGCAGUAAGACUGCCCUGUCCCGGGUCGUGGUUCAUUAGCAGAUGGCGGACGCAGUAAGACUGCCCUGUCCCGGGUCGUGGUUCAUUAGCAGAUGGCGGACGCAGUAAGACUGCCCUGUCCCGGGUCGUGGUUCAUUAGCAGAUGGCCGACGCAGUAAGACUGCCCUGUCCCGGGUCGUGGUUCAUUAGCAGAUGGCGGACGCAGUAAGACUGCCCUGUCCCGGGUCGUGGUUCAUUAGCAGAUGGCCGACGCAGUAAGACUGCCCUGUCCCGGGUCGUGGUUCAUUAGCAGAUGGCCCACGCAGUAAGACUGCCCUGUCCCGGGUCGUAGUUCAUUAGCAGAUGGCUCACGCAGUAAGACUGCCCUGUCCCGGGUCGUGGUUCAUUAGCAGAUGGCUCACGCAGUAAGACUGCCCUGUCCCGGGUCGUGGUUCAUUAGCAGAUGGCCCACGUAGUAAGACUGCCCUGUCCCGGGUCGUGGUUCAUUAGCAGAUGGCCCACGUAGUAAGACUGCCCUGUCCCGGGUCAUGUUCAUUAGGCACCAAACGUUAGAAAACGGACUGAAAUGGGGAUGUUCUACCUCCACCUGUCCAGUAUAAAACAUUCAUUUUAGUACGAGAACAAACACACGUUUUCAUUUUUUAUUGAACCUUUAUUGAACUAAGCAAGAACAAUUCUUAUUUACAAUGACGGCCUACCCUGUUCAAACCUUCCCCUAGCCCGGACGACACUGGGCCCGGGAUCGAACCCGGGUCUGUAGCGAUGCCUCUAGACCCGCUGCGUCACUAAUGGACCACUAACCAAUGGACAGACGGGUAGAAGUCAAAGAGGAUCUUUCCUAUCAUGUUAUAUCAUGAACAUGUUGAAAGUGCUUUCGCCUCGAGUGUAAAAACCAAACCGGUGUGAGUAAGACUAGACUUAUUGACUUGUUGCUGAUACUGUGUUUUUUUCAGUUUAUAAUAAAAGGAUGUGUCCAUAUUAUUAUGUAACUGAUGAACUUUGUAUGGCUGUUACUACUUGUGUUAAAUACUAGUCUCCUGACAUGUGGUGAUAUGAUUGGUAGGGCAACGUGUCUCUACUUGUGUUAAAUACUAGUCUCCUGACAUGUGGUGAUAUGAUUGGUAGGGCAACGUGUUACUACUUGUGUCCCAGAUCGGUUGGUCUCCUGGCAUGGUCCCAGAUCAGUUAGUCUCCUGGCCUGGUCCCAAAUCGGUUAGUCUCCUGGCCUGGUCCCAGAUCGGUUAGUCUCCUGGCCUGGUCCCAGAUCGGUUAGUCUCCUGGCCUGGUCCCAGAUCGGUUAGUCUCCUGGCCUGGUCCCAGAUCGGUUGGUCUCCUGG